rnacentral:rRNA from 1 species
GACGAACGCUGGCGGCGUGCUUAACACAUGCAAGUCGAACGGAAAGGCCCUGCUUUUGUGGGGUGCUCGAGUGGCGAACGGGUGAGUAACACGCGAGUAACCUGCCCUUGACUUUGGGAUAACUUCAGGAAACUGGGGCUAAUACCGGAUAGGAGCUCCUGCUGCAUGGGGGGGGUUGGAAAGUUUCGGCGGUUGGGGAUGGACUCGAGGCUUAUCAGCUUGUUGGGGGGGUAGUGGAUUACCAAGGCUUUGACGGGUAGCCGGCCUGAGAGGGUGACCGGCCACAUUGGGCCUGAGAUACGGCCCAGACUCCUACGGGAGGCAGCAGUGGGGAAUAUUGCACAAUGGGCGGAAGCCUGAUGCAGAAACGCCGCGUGCGGGAUGACGGCCUUCGGGUUGUAAACCGCUUUCGCCUGUGACGAAGCGUGAGUGACGGUAAUGGGUAAAGAAGCACCGGCUAACUACGUG